UGCAAGUCGAACGGCAGCACAGUAAGAGCUUGCUCUUAUGGGUGGCGAGUGGCGGACGGGUGAGGAAUACAUCGGAAUCUACUUUUUCGUGGGGGAUAACGUAGGGAAACUUACGCUAAUACCGCAUACGACCUACGGGUGAAAGCAGGGGAUCUUCGGACCUUGCGCGAUUGAAUGAGCCGAUGUCGGAUUAGCUAGUUGGCGGGGUAAAGGCCCACCAAGGCGACGAUCCGUAGCUGGUCUGAGAGGAUGAUCAGCCACACUGGAACUGAGACACGGUCCAGACUCCUACGGGAGGCAGCAGUGGGGAAUAUUGGACAAUGGGCGCAAGCCUGAUCCAGCCAUACCGCGUGGGUGAAGAAGGCCUUCGGGUUGUAAAGCCCUUUUGUUGGGAAAGAAAUCCAGCCGGUUAAUACCUGGUUGGGAUGACGGUACCCAAAGAAUAAGCACCGGCUAACUUCGUGCCAGCAGCCGCGGUAAUACGAAGGGUGCAAGCGUUACUCGGAAUUACUGGGCGUAAAGCGUGCGUAGGUGGUUGUUUAAGUCUGUUGUGAAAGCCCUGGGCUCAACCUGGGAACUGCAGUGGAAACUGGAUAACUAGAGUGUGGUAGAGGGUAGCGGAAUUCCCGGU
rnacentral:rRNA from 1 species